GUGCUUGCUUUGGCAGCACAUACACUAAAAUCGGAGUGAUACAGAGAUUAGCAUGGCUCCUGAGCAAAGAUGACAUGCAAAUUCAUGAAGUGUUCCAUAUUUUU